AAUAAUCAUUCUCUUAUUCUUCUUCUCUUUCUUCUGUUCUUCUUUUCUUCUUCUGCUCUUCUCUGCAGCGAUUCUGCAACGAUUUUGAGAAAACAAAUCGGUGUUCUGAGAUCGAAGAUACUAAGGAAAGAUCAAAUAUUAUCUUUUAGUGGUGAUAUUGAUUGGUGGGAGUGUUUUAAGUUCAGCAGAAAGGGGGGUUUCAGAGAAUCAGAACUAGGGUUUGUAGAUUUAUCAUUAAGUUUAGAUGGAAUUGAUAAGUUAAUUAAGUUGUUUAUUGAUGAAGGAAAAGGGGUUAUUGUUUAAUUGAUGAGGUGAAGCGAUUUUGUUGAAGAGUCAGGAAGUUAGGGUUUCUGUGAAUAAGGUUUCGGUCUGGUGAUGAUUAAGAUGAAAUUAAAAGAUGAGUUUUAAGCAGAUGCUCUGAAGAAGAUGAUUUAUCAAGUGAUUCUCAAUAUGCAGUGAAGAAUCAAUAAGUUCGGGUUUCUCUGAGGAGUGAUGAUGAUGAAGAUUAAGAGUCUGAGAUUAAGAGAAGAAGAAUAGAAUCAAGAACAGUUGAUGGUGGUGGUGAUGAUUCAGGUUUUGAUUCAAAUUCAGAAUAAAAGGUAAAUUAAAUUUAGGGUUCUUCUACUUUGAAUCCGUUUAAGUAUAAUUGGGCAUGAAGUGAUGAAUUUUAUAUGGAUUUGUUAAAUUGGAGUUGAAUUGAUUAUAUGGAGUUUAAAUUUGGUUUAAUUAUGAAAUUAAGAGUUACAAUUGGGGUUUGUUGUUAAAUUGAGAUACAUGAAGAAGAGUUAAAGUUUGUUGGUAGUUUAAGUUAAGAAUAGGAUGUAGAUGAAUUGAGCAAUCACAGAUGUAAAAGAGGGAUUAAAUGGUGAUACAUAUGAAGAUUGUUGUGAAUUGAUGGAAUUGUUUGUGUUGUAUUCACUGGUGAAGGGCAAGCUGAUGUUGCAGUGUAGGUCUCAGAAGAUAAUAGCAAUAAAGUAGAGCUGAAAUAGCGGUGGUGUUAGAAUUCUGAGGUUGUGUCUCAAAUAAAGAUGUUGUGUCUCAGAUAAAGAUGUUGUGUGUUAGUUGGAUGUUAUAAUUGGACUUGGUGGUGGUGAUUUCCUGGAACUAGAAUUCCAUGUGAUGAGGCUGGUGUGAGAAUGCUGCGCAGGUUGUGUUGAUGAUGAUAUAUGGAACUGUUAGUGUUUGAAUUGCAGUUAAGGGCGAACCUGAUGGCAAGGAUGUGAUGGUAUUAAGAUUGAGGUUCAAUAGGUAUUUAGAUGAAGUUGGAGUUCUGUUGAUGUUGAUUGAAUUUCAGAUUAGUGGUGGUGUUAUUGUUGUUGGAACUUCAGUAUGCUUGUGAGAUGUUUGAGCUAAAGUUGGUUGUAAUGCUGUUAUAGCAGUGGCCUUAAUGAAAGCCCGUAACUGCAGAUCUAGUUUCAGAGACAGAUCAGAGUUGCGCAGCGAAAGCUUCAAGGGUCGAGUUCGCUAGUUGUUUAACUUCAGCUAUGAUUAUUAUGUUGUAUAUUAUAUUUGUAAACCAAAUGACUAUUGUAUAUGUAUCAUUUGAGAGAA